rnacentral:rRNA from 1 species
GUCGAGAAUCAUUCGCAAUGCACGAAAGUGCGACGAUGCGACGCCGCGUGCAGGAUGAAGGCCUUCGGGUUGUAAACUGCUGUCAUGGGGGAGAAACGGCCGGGGUGUUAAUACCGCCCCGGAUUGAUAGUACCCCAAGAGGAAGCCACGGCUAACUCUGUGCCAGCAGCCGCGGUAAUACAGAGGUGGCGAGCGUUGUUCGGAUUUACUGGGCGUAAAGGGUGCGUAGGCGGCUUUGUAUGUCGGAUGUGAAAGCUCCGGGCUCAACCCGGAAACGGCAUCCGAAACUGCGGAGCUAGAGUACUGGAGAGGAGAGCGGAAUUCUCGGUGUAGCGGUGAAAUGCGUAGAUAUCGAGAGGAACGCCGGUGGCGAAGGCGGCUCUCUGGACAGAUACUGACGCUGAGGCACGAAAGCUGGGGUAGCAAACAGG